GGUAUUUUUGUCGGUUAUCCGAGAAUCGCGCAACACCACCGUGCCACAUUAUCCGCAAGAUCAAAGGAACACGUCGAGGGGUGAAAGAAAAACGCGAGGGAAUAAAAAGUCGUUAACGACGUGCCUUUACGAUAAGUCGACAGAGAGAGAGAGAGAGAGAGAGAGAGGGAGGGAGGGAGAGAAAUAUCACGAUGGCAACGAUAGCUCUGGCAUCGGAGAGAGUGGUCAUUUAGCGUGGCGAGCAGGUGAGAUUGGUGAGACGCGAGCGGUCGAAGGAAUUUAGAGCGAGACGGCGGGGUGACGUUGACCAAAUAACAACCAGGGUGUUCCGUCACGGAUGCCUUCU
rnacentral:misc_RNA from 1 species